rnacentral:rRNA from 2 species
GGGUUGUGAGGUUAAGCGACUAAGCGUACACGGUGGAUGCCCUGGCAGUCAGAGGCGAUGAAGGACGUGCUAAUCUGCGAUAAGCGCCGGUAAGGUGAUAUGAACCGUUAUAACCGGCGAUACCCGAAUGGGGAAACCCAGUGUGACUCGUCACACUAUCAUUAACUGAAUCCAUAGGUUAAUGAGGCGAACCGGGGGAACUGAAACAUCUAAGUACCCCGAGGAAAAGAAAUCAACCGAGAUUCCCCCAGUAGCGGCGAGCGAACGGGGAGGAGCCCAGAGCCUGAAUCAGCAUGUGUGUUAGUGGAAGCGUCUGGAAAGGCGCGCGAUACAGGGUGACAGCCCCGUACACAAAAGCGCAUGUGCUGUGAGCUCGAUGAGUAGGGCGGGACACGUGGUAUCCUGUCUGAAUAUGGGGGGACCAUCCUCCAAGGCUAAAUACUCCUGACUGACCGAUAGUGAACCAGUACCGUGAGGGAAAGGCGAAAAGAACCCCGGCGAGGGGAGUGAAAAAGAACCUGAAACCGUGUACGUACAAGCAGUGGGAGCNNNNNNNNNNNNNNNNNNNNNNNNNNNNNNNNNNGGGCGUUAAGUUGCAGGGUAUAGACCCGAAACCCGGUGAUCUAGCCAUGGGCAGGUUGAAGGUUGGGUAACACUAACUGGAGGACCGAACCGACUAAUGUUGAAAAAUUAGCGGAUGACCUGUGGCUGGGGGUGAAAGGCCAAUCAAACCGGGAGAUAGCUGGUUCUCCCCGAAAGCUAUUUAGGUAGCGCCUCGUGAAUUCAUCUCCGGGGGUAGAGCACUGUUUCGGCUAGGGGGCCAUCCCGGCUUACCAACCCGAUGCAAACUGCGAAUACCGGAGAAUGUUAUCACGGGAGACACACGGCGGGUGCUAACGUCCGUCGUGAAGAGGGAAACAACCCAGACCGCCAGCUAAGGUCCCAAAGUCAUGGUUAAGUGGGAAACGAUGUGGGAAGGCCCAGACAGCCAGGAUGUUGGCUUAGAAGCAGCCAUCAUUUAAAGAAAGCGUAAUAGCUCACUGGUCGAGUCGGCCUGCGCGGAAGAUGUAACGGGGCUAAACCAUGCACCGAAGCUGCGGCAGCGACGCUGAUGCGUUGUUGGGUAGGGGAGCGUUCUGUAAGCCUGCGAAGGUGACCUGUGAGGGUUGCUGGAGGUAUCAGAAGUGCGAAUGCUGACAUAAGUAACGAUAAAGCGGGUGAAAAGCCCGCUCGCCGGAAGACCAAGGGUUCCUGUCCAACGUUAAUCGGGGCAGGGUGAGUCGACCCCUAAGGCGAGGCCGAAAGGCGUAGUCGAUGGGAAACGGGUUAAUAUUCCCGUACUUGGUGUUACUGCGAAGGGGGGACGGAGAAGGCUAUGUUGGCCGGGCGACGGUUGUCCCGGUUUAAGCGUGUAGGUGUGUGUUCCAGGUAAAUCCGGUUCACUUUAACACUGAGGCGUGACGACGAGGCACUACGGUGCUGAAGCAACAAAUGCCCUGCUUCCAGGAAAAGCCUCUAAGCAUCAGGUAACAUCAAAUCGUACCCCAAACCGACACAGGUGGUCAGGUAGAGAAUACCAAGGCGCUUGAGAGAACUCGGGUGAAGGAACUAGGCAAAAUGGUGCCGUAACUUCGGGAGAAGGCACGCUGACACGUAGGUGAAGUGAUUUACUCAUGGAGCUGAAGUCAGUCGAAGAUACCAGCUGGCUGCAACUGUUUAUUAAAAACACAGCACUGUGCAAACACGAAAGUGGACGUAUACGGUGUGACGCCUGCCCGGUGCCGGAAGGUUAAUUGAUGGGGUCAGCGCAAGCGAAGCUCCUGAUCGAAGCCCCGGUAAACGGCGGCCGUAACUAUAACGGUCCUAAGGUAGCGAAAUUCCUUGUCGGGUAAGUUCCGACCUGCACGAAUGGCGUAAUGAUGGCCAGGCUGUCUCCACCCGAGACUCAGUGAAAUUGAACUCGCUGUGAAGAUGCAGUGUACCCGCGGCAAGACGGAAAGACCCCGUGAACCUUUACUAUAGCUUGACACUGAACAUUGAGCCUUGAUGUGUAGGAUAGGUGGGAGGCUUUGAAGUGUGGACGCCAGUCUGCAUGGAGCCGACCUUGAAAUACCACCCUUUAAUGUUUGAUGUUCUAACGUGGACCCGUUACCCGGGUUGCGGACAGUGUCUGGUGGGUAGUUUGACUGGGGCGGUCUCCUCCUAAAGAGUAACGGAGGAGCACGAAGGUUGGCUAAUCCUGGUCGGACAUCAGGAGGUUAGUGCAAUGGCAUAAGCCAGCUUGACUGCGAGCGUGACGGCGCGAGCAGGUGCGAAAGCAGGUCAUAGUGAUCCGGUGGUUCUGAAUGGAAGGGCCAUCGCUCAACGGAUAAAAGGUACUCCGGGGAUAACAGGCUGAUACCGCCCAAGAGUUCAUAUCGACGGCGGUGUUUGGCACCUCGAUGUCGGCUCAUCACAUCCUGGGGCUGAAGUAGGUCCCAAGGGUAUGGCUGUUCGCCAUUUAAAGUGGUACGCGAGCUGGGUUUAGAACGUCGUGAGACAGUUCGGUCCCUAUCUGCCGUGGGCGCUGGAGAACUGAGGGGGGCUGCUCCUAGUACGAGAGGACCGGAGUGGACGCAUCACUGGUGUUCGGGUUGUCAUGCCAAUGGCACUGCCCGGUAGCUAAAUGCGGAAGAGAUAAGUGCUGAAAGCAUCUAAGCACGAAACUUGCCCCGAGAUGAGUUCUCCCUGAGACUUAGAGUCUCCUGAAGGAACGUUGAAGACGACGACGUUGAUAGGCCG